UUGUAGAGGGGGGUAGAAUUCCAGGUGUAGCGGUGAAAUGCGUAGAGAUCUGGAGGAAUACCGGUGGCGAAGGCGGCCCCCUGGACAAAGACUGACGCUCAGGUGCGAAAGCGUGGGGAGCAAACAGGAUUAGAUACCCUGGUAGUCCACGCCGUAAACGAUGUCUACUUGGAGGUUGUGCCCUUGAGGCGUGGCUUCCGGAGCUAACGCGUUAAGUAGACCGCCUGGGGAGUACGGCCGCAAGGUUAAAACUCAAAUGAAUUGACGGGGGCCCGCACAAGCGGUGGAGCAUGUGGUUUAAUUCGAUGCAACGCGAAGAACC
rnacentral:rRNA from 2 species